AAUGAACGCUGGCGGCAGGCUUAAUACAUGCAAGUCGAGCGAGCGGCGGACGGGUGAUUAAUGUCUGGGAAACUGCCUGAUGGAGGGGGUUAACUACUGGAAAAGGUAGCUAAUACCGCAUAACAGCAGAUGUGCCCAGAUUGCUUUAGCUAGUAGGUGGGGUAAUGGCUCACCUAGGCGACGAUCCCUAGCUGUUCUGAGAGGAUGACCAGCCACACUGGAACUGAGACACGGUCCAGACUCCUACGGAAGGCAGCAGUGGGGAAUAUUGCACAAUGGGCGCAUGCCUGAUGCAGCCAUGCCGCGUGUGUGAAGAAGUCCUUCGGGUUGUAAAACACUUUCAGCGAGGAGGCGUUACUCGCAGAAGAAGCACCGGCUAACUCCGUGCCAGCAGCCGCGGUAAUUC
rnacentral:rRNA from 1 species